rnacentral:lncRNA from 1 species
UAAGCCCACAGACAUACCGCUGUGCCACUGGAGGUUUUCAACUUUGACUCCGGCUGUUUGUAUUUUUAUUUAAUCGUUGUUGAUUUUGUUCCGCCUGUGCUUGGAAAUAACGAUUAGUGUUCACGUCUUUUCUAAAUGAACUGUAGAGAAACCGACAUCACGCUCGAGAGAGAUCUGUUUUUGAAGAACGAUUCAGUUAUGUAAAUGCUGUAUAUGUAUAUUAUUUUAUUAUUUUCAGUGAAUUAUGGUCUAGAAAGCAAGCUUUAAUUUAUCAUUCAUACUUCAAACCACAUUCACGGUUAGUUAAGAUACUCACUGAUAAACAUAACUAUUUAAUAAAAUCAAUUUCUAGUGUUAAUGAUCACAGGAUCACGUGGAGAAACUGCAACGAAUUUAAAAAAAAAAGGCCUAAAACUCGAGCUAUUGAAUAGCUGACAAUUCUUCUUCAGGAGAAUAAAGUUUUCAAUGUUGAUGGUUCAAAAUUUUCCAAUAGGGGAAGCAGCUUACUCACCAUGGUAAUAUCUCAUGAUUACCAUAUAUAUCACCAUGGUAACAUCUUAUGAUAUAUAUAUAAAUACAUCACCAUGGUAACAUCUCAUGAUAUAUAUAUGGAUACAUACAUACAUUUAUAUGAUGCUCAUUUAUUUUGUAUUUUCAGUACUGAUGUAGAAACAGGCUAGAAAACACCAGAAAACAAUGAAUAAUAGUUGUUUUUUAGUUUACCCGCCAGGGUGAUAUCUUAAAGAGUGUUCAAAAUUGUUUUCAGACCACAUUUUUAGUGAGAGGUGACAAGUUUAUAUAACGCAUGUCUAAUCACUUGCCAUCGAAAGACAGAAUAACCUUAAUAGAUCAGUGGCACGCGCACGACGGUAUGUCUGCGGACUUACAACGCUAGAAACCGAAUUUCUAUACCCGUGGUGGGCAGAGUACAGACAACCCAUUGUGUAGCUUUGUGCUUAAACUACAAACAUUCAUGGAGAAUUUUCAUUAUUUGUUAAUAUGAUCGCACUUACAUACCACGGUUUCAAAUGGAAUUGUAGCAAAACAAAUGUUAUGUAAAACCUCGUAACCAGAUCAAUAGUUAAAAUAACUUACGACUUCAAUGAAGAAAAAAAAAACUUUUCUCAUUUUAAUCAAAUAUUUAAUCUCAAUUAUGGCACCGUUGUUCAAAUUAUUAUCAUUUUGAACUUUAAGAAAAAAUGUGAUUACAUAAAGAAAAACAAACUUAUAGCUCAGAGUUUUGUUGGUUUUUCAAUGCAUGGUAAUUUUAAAAUCUCAUUACAGAGAAAAUAAAACUUGCUGAAUAAAAUUAAUUUUAUAUCUGUAUAACAACUGUGCAUUAAUUUAAAAUGGUUCGUUUUUUUAUGGAAAGUUAUUCUUACUUGUCUGGGUCAAAGCAUGACGUACUAUCGGUAGGUAAUUUUACUGUUAGGUAACGUUAAGGAAGUCUUUCCUUACUUGUCUAGGUCAAGACUUGGUGUACUUAUUGGCAGAUAAGUUUACUGUUAGGUAACGUUAAGGAAGUCUUUCCUUACUUGUCUAGGUCAAGACUUGGUGUACUUAUUGGCAGGUAAUUUUACUGUUAGGUAAAAGUCCUUCCUCACUUGUCUAGGUCAAGACUCUAAUGCCUGUGAUCAAUAAGUAGUUUUCCUGUUAAGUACCUUUAAAUAACUCUUGCCUAUUUUUUGUGUCCUUUUAUUUUUGUGUUCUCUACUUGUUUACAGAAAUUAUGUGCUUUGUUUGGUAACACUGUUAAUAUGUUAUAUAAAUAGCACCAAGGCAAAGGCUGGAAUUCUCGCGCUCACUUGAUCUGAUGUUUAACACGAAAAAAUACACAAUAUGAGUGUGUUCCAAUCCCGUCGACUUUCUUUACUGUUACUCUCGUGUUCCAGAUAAUAGUGCAGGGUGGGAAAAUAUCAAUAAUUUAAUAAUAGUACAGGGUGGAAUAAUUUAGAUUUCAAAUUUAAUUAUUGUACAGGUUGAAAUCAUUGGUUAAAGAUGACGGGAAAAAAAUAAUCAUGUAGACCCAAAUAAGCAUCGUGCAGGGUAGAACAUUUCUACAAAAUUAAUAAUUAAUUAACUCACCUGUAUGAUAAAAGCUUACGAUAUCCUAGUUCUUCAUUUAUCAGAUAACAAGAAGAAAAAAUCAGGUUGAUGUUUUGGAAAUGUGGAUUGUGAUAGAUCUCGAAUGACUUGCUCAUUGCACAAGUUAAGCCUCACAGGAUGUUGUUUAUUGUUUGAGAUGAAUAUAUUGUUGCUGUUAAACAAUAGUCAUUCUUUGUGUAUAUAUGUAAAUAUUAGUACCUUGUUACACCUAAGUUUUCUGUAAAGUGUUAAAUAGAUGUACCUUAGCUUAGAAAUAAAAACAUGUUUAACCAAUGUAAA